ACGGGAGGCAGCAGUGGGGAAUAUUGCACAAUGGGCGCAAGCCUGAUGCAGCGACGCCGCGUGAGCGAAGAAGUAUUUCGGUAUGUAAAGCUCUAUCAGCAGGGAAGAUAAUGACGGUACCUGACUAAGAAGCACCGGCUAAAUACGUGCCAGCAGCCGCGGUAAUACGUAUGGUGCAAGCGUUAUCCGGAUUUACUGGGUGUAAAGGGAGCGUAGGCGGUCUAGCAAGUCUGAUGUGAAAACCCGGGGCUCAACUUCGGGAUUGCAUUGGAAACUGUCAGACUAGAGUGUCGGAGGGGUAAGUGGAAUUCCUAGUGUAGCGGUGAAAUGCGUAGAUAUUAGGAGGAACACCAGUGGCGAAGGCGGCUUACUGGACGAUUACUGACGCUGAGGCUCGAAAGCGUGGGGAGCAAACAGGAUUAGAUACCCUGGUA
rnacentral:rRNA from 1 species